rnacentral:rRNA from 1 species
CUCGUAGGCGGUUCGUCGCGUCCGAUGUGAAAGUCCAUCGCUUAACGGUGGAUCCGCGCCGGGUACGGGCGGGCUUGAGUGCGGUAGGGGAGACUGGAAUUCCCGGUGUAACGGUGGAAUGUGUAGAUAUCGGGAAGAACACCAAUGGCGAAGGCAGGUCUCUGGGCCGUUACUGACGCUGAGGAGCGAAAGCGUGGGGAGCGAACA